rnacentral:rRNA from 1 species
AACGUAGGACACAAGCGUUAUCCGGAGUUACUGGGCGUAAAGGGCGUGUAGGCGGAUCGGUAAGUCUACUCUGAAAGCUCCUGGCUAAACUGGGAGAGGCGAGUGGAGACUGUCGGUCUAGGAGUGAGGAAGAGGAAAGUGGAAUUCCGCGUGUAGUGGUAGGAAAUGCGUAGAGAUGCGGAGGAACACCAGUGGCGAAAGCG